UACGUAGGGGGCAAGCGUUGUCCGGAUUUAUUGGGCGUAAAGAGCGUGUAGGCGGCUAGGUAGGUCCGUUGUGAAAACUCGAGGCUCAACCUCGAGACGUCGAUGGAAACCAUCUAGCUAGAGUCCGGAAGAGGAGAGUGGAAUUCCAGGUGUAGCGGUGAAAUGCGCAGAUAUCAGGAAGAACACCCGUGGCGAAGGCGGCUCUCUGGUACGUGACUGACGCUGAGACGCGAAAGCGUGGGGAGCGAACAGG
rnacentral:rRNA from 1 species